rnacentral:tRNA from 1 species
UGCUUGGGUGGCUCAGUUGGUAGAGCACUUGCCCGCAAAAGGCAAAGGUCCCGAGUUCGAGUCUCGGUCCGGCAC